rnacentral:tRNA from 1 species
AUCUUCGUGGUGCAAUGGUCAGCACACUCGGCGCGUAUUCGAGAGGUCCGUGGUUCGAGUCCCGGCGAGGGCA